GAUGAACGCUGGCGGCGUGCCUAAUACAUGUAAGUCGAGCGAACAGACGAGGAGCUUGCUCCUUUGACGUUAGCGGCGGACGGGUGAGUAACACGUGGGUAACCUACCUAUAAGACUGGGAUAACUUCGGGAAACCGGAGCUAAUACCGGAUAAUAUUUCGAACCGCAUGGUUCGAUAGUGAAAGAUGGCUUUGCUAUCACUUAUAGAUGGACCUGCGCCGUAUUAGCUAGUUGGUAAGGUAACGGCUUACCAAGGCAACGAUACGUAGCCGACCUGAGAGGGUGAUCGGCCACACUGGAACUGAGACACGGUCCAGACUCCUACGGGAGGCAGCAGUAGGGAAUCUUCCGCAAUGGGCGAAAGCCUGACGGAGCAACGCCGCGUGAGUGAUGAAGGUCUUCGGAUCGUAAAACUCUGUUAUUAGGGAAGAAUAAACGUGUAAGUAACUGUGCACGUCUUGACGGUACCUAAUCAGAAAGCCACGGCUAACUACGUG
rnacentral:rRNA from 1 species